UUAAAACUAAUUUAAUAUUUUAAUUUAAUAAAGUUAAUUUCAAUGCUAAGAAUAAUUGGUCACCUAUACAGCUAUGCGCAAGAGAUUUUCAUAACAAAAUAUACUAAUUUAAAAAUUUUGGCAGAAGUUGAUUUUAGGUCAUUGCGCUUUAUUAGUGAAUCACUGUUUACAAUGACUUGUGUUGUAACAUCUUGUUAACACAAAAUAUAUUGUUAUCUUAUCUUCUUAAAAUAUAUCUCAUUGAUAAAAUUGCAACUGUUGAAGAUGUUAAAAAUGCUGUCAAAAUAAAACUACAAGGGCCUGGUGCACUGUGUAGAUAUCAUGCUAUCCAUUAAAAAUUAGGAAGGUUUUACAAAUUACGUGUACCAAGUGCUGCUGUUCAUGCAGCUAUGUUUGCAGAAGAUCAAGCAGUACUUAAAAACAGAAAACUUGCUUCAAGCAGAUGAAAGCCACGAACAACUAUAUAUUAGAAAAUCCAAAUUGGGUACACUCCCCAAAUGGUCACCGAAAAACGAAUUAUCUAUCAAAAUAGUACCUUUCUGUUUGUAGUAUUUGACUGUAUAGAUCCUUGCAGUAGAAAAGUUGUAUGGAUAAAAGUGUGGAGUAGAGUAAUUCUCCAAAGUUUAUUGUGUAAUUAUAUACAUAAAACAAGUUUAUUGCUACAUUUUAUCUGAAAUACUAAUUAAAAAAUAAGAUUGUUUCCAAGUAUAUUAGAGAAAAAAAAGCACAGAAACUAAGCACAUGGCUGUUUUGCCUAUUUACACCAAAAUAUUAUGAAUGAUCCAACAGGUAGCAUCAAUAAUGGCCCUUCAACCUCAAACAAGAUUAAACGAUGGUUGAAGGAGUUUUAGAUUAAACGGUGGUUGAAGGAGUUUUAUAAAUUUCUGAAAAGUAUUACAAGUAUCAAUUAAAUGUUUAGAAAACUUUAAUUUAUGAUCCUACAAAUAAUAUUUUUUUUUUUUUUUUUAUAAGAAAUUGAAUUUUAUUUUUUAUUGUAACUAGAAUUUUUUUAAAAACCCUGAGU
rnacentral:lncRNA from 1 species